rnacentral:rRNA from 1 species
GACGAACGCUGGCGGCGUGCUUAACACAUGCAAGUCGAACGGAAAGGCCUAGCUUGCUGGGUACUCGAGUGGCGAACGGGUGAGUAGCACGUGGGUGAUCUGCCCCUGACUUUGGGAUAAGCCUGGGAAACUGGGUCUAAUACCGGAUAUUCAUUUUUCCUCGCAUGGGGAUUUGUGGAAAGCUUUUGCGGUUGGGGAUGGGCCCGCGGCCUAUCAGCUUGUUGGUGGGGUAAUGGCCUACCAAGGCGACGACGGGUAGCCGACCUGAGAGGGUGAUCGGCCACACUGGGACUGAGACACGGCCCAGACUCCUACGGGAGGCAGCAGUGGGGAAUAUUGCACAAUGGGCGCAAGCCUGAUGCAGCGACGCCGCGUGAGGGAUGACGGCCUUCGGGUUGUAAACCUCUUUCAGCUCCGACGAAGCGCAAGUGACGGUAGGAGCAGAAGAAGCACCGGCCAACUACGUG